rnacentral:lncRNA from 1 species
GAGCGAGCGGCGGGUGUCCCUGAGAGGCCACCUUUCGACCUUCGAGGGCCAGGAGGAUACGGGGAGGUGGCCGGAGGGAGUUCCCGAACACAGGUCUUCCUGUUCCCGCCGAGCAGGUGUUGGCGGUGCCAGGCCCGGCCUGGCGGGCCCGGGCUGGCAGCCAAAUACCCAGCGUCUGUGCUCGGGACGGGAGUGUUCGUCCAGGACGUGCAGCUCCGGAGCCUGCGCGGGCGACCUUGACCACCUUUGUCGGCUGUUUCCCCCUGAGGGAAGUAUACCUGUCCUGCCAGCCUUGGUCUCUGGCAGGGAAGGUCCUUCCAACAGAGAGGGAAUUGCUUAGAAUUGACUCAACACUGCCUCCUUGCUGAAUGGAUAAUUCAAGCAAACAACUCAAGAGCUGGAUGCUGCCCAGACAGAAGUCCUCCUAGCAUCUUUCUUCUGCCUUCCCCUGCUCCUGUCCCUGAAACCUUUUCUUCAAAAGAAGUGGAAAAGAGGAACUGGGAACCCAUAUAGCAACAGCAUCACCUGGAAUGAAUUCCUUUAGAACAUACUGUCUUGGAAAUCUGAAGCCUGCAGGGCUGGACAGGCAAGAAGAGCAGUGAGCACUGCAUGAACCUAGUCUUGCUGUGUCGCCCAAGCUGGAGUUCAGUGGCACCAUCCUGGCUCACUGCAACUGCUGCCUCCCAGGUUCAAGUGAUUCUCCUGCCUCAGCCUCCCGAGUAGCUGGGAUUACAUGUGCCUGCCACCACGCCUGGCAAGUUUUUGUAUUUUUAGUAGAAAUGGUGUUUUACCAUGUUGGCCAAGACUGGCCUAGAACUCCAGACCUCAAGUGAUCCACCCGCCUCAGCAGCCCAAAGUGGUGGGAUUACAGGCAUGAGCAACUGUGCCUGGCCUAGCCAUUUUCUAUAAACCUGAAAAUAGAUGCCAGAAAAGAAGGUGCCGCUAUAAAAUGCUUUCUUGAGUGAUUUAUGUCUAACAUACAAUUAAACAUUUAUGAGAAGGAAAUUAUCAGGUUAAAAUAUAAACUCACUUGCCAAUUAUUUGAUUUUCAGGAUAUCUGACUUUUGUUAAUUACUGAAAAUAAAGUAUUAUUUCUAAUCAC